GUGAGGAAUAUUGGUCAAUGGGCGAGAGCCUGAACCAGCCAAGUCGCGUGAAGGAAGAAGGAUCUAUGGUUCGUAAACUUCUUUUGCAGGGGAAUAAAGUGCAGGACGUGUCCUGUUUUGUAUGUACCCUGAGAAUAAGGAUCGGCUAACUCCGUGCCAGCAGCCGCGGUAAUACGGAGGAUCCGAGCGUUAUCCGGAUUUAUUGGGUUUAAAGGGUGCGUAGGUGGUUUGAUAAGUCAGCGGUGAAAGGUUGCAGCUUAACUGUAAAAAUGCCGUUGAAACUGUCGGACUUGAGUGUAAAUGAGGUAGGCGGAAUGCGUGGUGUAGCGGUGAAAUGCAUAGAUAUCACGCAGAACUCCGAUUGCGAAGGCAGCUUACUAAGCUACAACUGACACUGAAGCACGAAAGCGUGGGGAUCAAACAGGAUUAGAAACCCUGGUAGUCC
rnacentral:rRNA from 1 species